rnacentral:rRNA from 2 species
UGCAGUCGAACGAUGAACCACUUCGGUGGGGAUUAGUGGCGAACGGGUGAGUAACACGUGGGCAAUCUGCCCUGCACUCUGGGACAAGCCCUGGAAACGGGGUCUAAUACCGGAUAUUGACCUUCACGGGCAUCUGUGAGGUUCGAAAGCUCCGGCGGUGCAGGAUGAGCCCGCGGCCUAUCAGCUUGUUGGUGAGGUAAUGGCUCACCAAGGCGACGACGGGUAGCCGGCCUGAGAGGGCGACCGGCCACACUGGGACUGAGACACGGCCCAGACUCCUACGGGAGGCAGCAGUGGGGAAUAUUGCACAAUGGGCGAAAGCCUGAUGCAGCGACGCCGCGUGAGGGAUGACGGCCUUCGGGUUGUAAACCUCUUUCAGCAGGGAAGAAGCGAAAGUGACGGUACCUGCAGAAGAAGCGCCGGCUAACUACGUGCCAGCAGCCGCGGUAAUACGUAGGGCGCAAGCGUUGUCCGGAAUUAUUGGGCGUAAAGAGCUCGUAGGCGGCUUGUCACGUCGGUUGUGAAAGCCCGGGGCUUAACCCCGGGUCUGCAGUCGAUACGGGCAGGCUAGAGUUCGGUAGGGGAGAUCGGAAUUCCUGGUGUAGCGGUGAAAUGCGCAGAUAUCAGGAGGAACACCGGUGGCGAAGGCGGAUCUCUGGGCCGAUACUGACGCUGAGGAGCGAAAGCGUGGGGGAGCGAACAGGAUUAGAU